rnacentral:rRNA from 1 species
UACAGAGGGGGCAAGCGUUGUUCGGAAUUACUGGGCGUAAAGGGCGCGUAGGCGGCCUGCUAAGUCGAACGUGAAAUCCCCGGGCUCAACCCGGGAACUGCAUCCGAAACUGGCAGGCUAGAGUACGGAAGAGGGUCGCGGAAUUCCCGGUGUAGAGGUGAAAUUCGUAGAUAUCGGGAGGAACACCGGUGGCGAAGGCGGCGACCUGGGCCGAUACUGACACUGAGGUGCGAAAGCGUGGGGAGCAAACAGG